CUUUUCCCUGUAGCAGAUACACUAAAAUUGGAAGGAUGCAGAAAUGAGCAUGGACCUUGUACAGAAUGAGAGGCACGUCUGUGAAGCGGGCCAUAUUUCU
rnacentral:snRNA from 1 species